rnacentral:lncRNA from 10 species
GAAAGUUGAUGAUGUCUGGAAAUACUCUGUCUACUGAAAUGUUGAAUAUCACAGCCUUCAAAUGCUGACUUUAAAAUCCAGCAGUUCUCCAAAUUCCAGUGGCCCAAGAAGCCAGACAUUCAACAGAAACAGUGUGGGAAGACAGAGCUAGGAGACCAGGGCAUAAGUUCUAUCUCUGUGUUUCUGUCCAUUAAACCUUGGACCAUCUCAUCAAAUCUGUUUCUUCCUCUAGAAAAUGGAUAUAUUAGCUUCUGCUUCAUAGAGUUGUUAUGAAAAAUAAAAAAGAGCCCAUGAAAAU